rnacentral:tRNA from 1 species
GCGGGUGUGGUGAAAUUGGCAGACACGCUAGACUUAGGAUCUAGUGCUCCGGCGUGCAGGUUCAAGUCCUGUCACCCGCA